GAAGUCCCUGAUCUCAUCCCCUGCCCCGUAUCAGGACCACAUUGAGCGAGCGCGGCUGGGAGGAAUGACACUGUGGACCGCGCAGCAGCAGUGGUCCGCCCGGCGGCUGCCACCCAAGGCCAAGGGGCCCCCGCACAGCCAGAUGCGCGGUCGAUGAAGCUGCCUACAAAGGAACACAACGACAUUUGGGGAGGGGGGUCUCACCCAAUUAGACUGAAACCGAAGUUAGGCCCUGAGAAAGGUCGUUUUACAGAAGCAAAGCCAACCGGCACGGCAGCAAGACAGACAGAGCCGGGCAUCCGCGCGGGGAACACCCACGCCUCUCUCUGGCGCCUAGCCGGGGAGUCAUGGCGCCCCAGCCUCCCGCAAGCCAAAGCCAACUCUGGGAAACCCGGAGAACUAGCGGACAAGAAAGCCCUAGAGCCUGUGGUGCAGCGAAUGGAUGGAGGGAGACAGAGGAUCCGCACAGCCAAGUUCCGGGCCUCUUCCUCAGGCUGUAGUGGUCGCUGGGAGGUCCCGAGUUGAAGGCGAGAAGAAAUCGUGAAGUUCCACAGAGAAGAGGCGUCAUUGAACCCAAGGACAUUGGGCCUGCUGAGAGCAGGCUGGUGGGGAGGAGGGUGGGUGAGUGGGGCUCUGGGGAGGGGGUACAUCCUGGAGUUCUCAAAAUAAGGGGUUUCCAGUGAAAUAUUGCAGACGGUCCCUGUUCAGUUUCUUUUCUUUCAUCCUGCGAUUCUGGAACCAGAUUUUGACUUGCCGGUCAGUGAGGUUGAGCAUCCGAGAGAGUUGGAGUCUUUUCUCUUUGUUUAUGUAUACAUUAAAGAAAAACUCGCGUUCCAGUUCGCGGAUCUGGUACUUGGUGUAGGGACAGCGCUUUUUCCGGGACCUCUGGGGGGCCACUGCAAGGAAAAGAAACCAAGAGGUGAGAGAGGCUACUGCUUGCCCCCACCCACUCUGGCCACUGAGCUAGGGCCAGGCCUUGGCCCAGUUAGGGACGUCCCUUGCCGCCGUUGAAAGGCCCUGCCUGCGUCGUGGGGGAUGAUAUAUGGGCGGGCACAGUAGAGUGCGGGCGUGGACAUGUGUUCACGCCCGGACACACACACACACACACACACACACACACACACACUCUAGGCUGGCACUGAGAUAGGAAAAAGGAUGAUGGCAAGGCAGGCUCUGAACUGGAACAUGAAGGGAGAGAGACAAGAGCGCGCCCACAGGAGCAUCUGCUCAACUCCGAGCUGAGCGCCAGCCAGAGGUUGGGGUUAAGUCCAGUGCGGCAGAUCACUUACCCUCUCCCUGAAAGGCAGGAGGCUCUCGUGUUCCCACUCAUCAACUGGCUGCAAAUGUACUUCCCUCCUCUAAGGUCCUCAACUCACCCACCCCCCCCCCACCCAAAUAGAGGGAAAGCUCUCUACGGCGAUUAAUGUCCUCUUCGAAGUCUACCUUAAGCCCACCUAAAUUGGUUUCCUAUCAUAAACACGCUUUACAACGACCCGGGAAAUCUUAUAGGAUGUAUAAACCCCCUCGAAUGCUUAUAAAGUAGCACAUAAAACGGCGCAAGCAGAGGGAGGUCCCCACCGCCCCCCCUCCGCCGCCCCGGGCCAGCCCCUCGGCCCGCGCCCCGCGCCUACCUGUGCCGCCGCUCUUUUCGGCCCCCGCCUCCCCCGGGGGGCCCUCGCCUUCACCGCCACCGCCUUCCGCCGCCCCCUUGGGCUCUGGGCCCGGAGUCGCCUUGGCGCAGGGACUGCCCCCGCCGCCACCAGCCCCUGGCUUGGGGUCGCCCUUGUCAGCGGCGCCCUCGGGCUGUGGCGGCGCGGGAGCGGGCUGGGGCUGCGGGCCGGCGAAGGGGGGUCCGGGCGCCGCCUCGUAGAACUGAUCAAAGCCCUGGGGCAGGAUGCCGUUGCGACCCAC
rnacentral:lncRNA from 1 species